UUUAAGUGGAGAGUUUGAUCCUGGCUCAGAAUGAACGCUGGCGGCGUGCCUAACACAUGCAAGUCGAACGAGAAACUCCGGGCUUGCUCGGAGGAGUAAAGUGGCGCACGGGUGAGUAACGCGUGGGUAACCUGCCCCGGAAUCUGGGAUAACAUCGCGAAAGCGUUGCUAAUACCGGAUAUCGUCCUUUAAACUGUGGUUUUUGGGAUGAAAGAUGACCUCUCCAUGGAAGUUGUCGUUCAGGGAGGGGCCCGCGUACCAUUAGCUUGUUGGUGGGGUAAUGGCCUACCAAGGCUACGAUGGUUAGCUGGUCUGAGAGGAUGAUCAGCCACACUGGAACUGAAACACGGUCCAGACUCCUAC
rnacentral:rRNA from 1 species